AACGGCUGUUUUAAAGAUUAAAUAAAAUGCUUGGAAUAUAUGUAAAAUGCUGAGCAUAUUUGAUUAAUAAAUAAAAUCCAUCAUUAUCAUCAGUCAGUAAAAUGAACAAUCUAUAUUUCAGGCAAUUAAGUCACAUUUGUUCAGUUCAAGGAGUGGAACUUCUGUUUUGCCUUUGAAAAGGCCUUGCAUUCGCUGUUAUCCUUAGAGUGCCUCAUCUCUUCACCUUCCCAUUCGGGGUUAUUUUGCCUUUAGGAAAACCCGGGUGUUAAAUUAGUUCAUUGCAUCACUUACUCUUGAGAAACCGUUAAAUCUGUGUUCCCCUACCAAAGGUGACUUGUCUUCGAAAAUGUCGUUGCCCCGGGGAAGGUAUUUUAUAGGUGUAGGAAACUUUAAGUGGUCACUUAGGACUUCGAAAUAAGUACGGCCUGAGGCCAGGAGGAGAAAGCAGUGCCCUCAACACUGCUGUAAACGCGCAUUUGUAGUCAACCUAUUAAAAAGACCCAGCACCAUAUGGAUGUCUCACGGAUUACAACUCUCUACUAUAGUGGCACUUUCUUUGUUGAGGGCAGAAUGGCAGAAGGAAGAGAAAAGGAGAUUGUGGAAGGAAACUCCAACAGUUUAUGACGAUGAUCUCUACUAGAGCUUACAAGUCAGUGCGAAUAUGGAGAAGGAGACUAUAAUCAAUUUCCCUACGAGCUUCAGAAAGGGCGUGAUUUUGGGAUUAAUAGACACAGAAUUCCUCAAACAUUUUCUAAAUAAAGGGCCUAGAAGAAAUAAGAAAAAUUCUGGCAGCAAACUAUUUUAUUACUUUAAGAAUAAUGAAGAACAGUUUCCUUUUCUUUCUCUGAAGGAUGUGUACAUGUACACCUGGAAAACUAUCCAUAACCUAUUCCUGGAGGGGAAGUAUUUCUCUCACUUCACGAAAAUAUAUAGGUACAUUUAAAAAAAGACUUCACUCAAUUUCAGUCACCUUAUUUAAUAGCCUAACAUUAAUUUGGUCCACAUUGAUGUAAAGAAGAAAUACUUAUAAUAUUCUCAUAAUUUGCUGAGUUAAUAUGGACUUUUAGUUAAAGGCUAAAUGUUUCACUUAGCAAGUGAAUUCAUUUAUAUAGCCAUAAAGCCAAUAAAUUCUUUAUUAAAAAUUCUAUGUAUGAUAUUUAGUGAAAAAGAUCAAGCUGCAUUAGUUAUGUACAAGAAAUUAA
rnacentral:lncRNA from 1 species